AGAUUUGGAGAGAAAACCUGGAUCAUAUACAGUUAGAUGGGACUGUGAGAGAUGGUUUUGAGGUUGAUCUUCAGGAAACAGCCAUUGUGGAGGAUUUUAAUAUUCUGUCACCUUUAUUCUGCGGUCAGCCGGAAUUCUGUAAUUGCCAGUGAAUGUGAGGGUGGUCAUGACGUGUUUGCCAAAGUCAAAGAGAACAGCCUGAUGGGAACAUUUAUUGCCAACCUCAGUUUUACAGCAGAUCCAUCAGCCCAUCGCAUGCAUUUAAGGCUUUCUGGAAAAGACGCUGGCUGGUUUUAUUUGGAGGGGAAAACCAUCAGACUGAAUUCAACAUCAACUAGGAUUAUUGACAGAGAGGUAACUAUAACUCAUGCUAACAUACUGUCAUCUUUUCCCUUGAUAUUGAAUACGUUAUUACAAUCAUCUGUGGGAAUUGCAGAAACACGGCUCAGUUUUAAAGGCGACUGUAAGGUGUUAUGAACAUAAAGUGCUACAGGUAUGUUCAAUCAUAUGUGAGACUUAACUGUACGAUUUACAUUUGUCAAUUAAAAGUAAUGUUGUUGUCAGGCUGAACUCAGAAUCAUGGUGGAGGUUCUGGAUGAAAAUGACAACAAACCAGAGUUCCUACAAAGCUCCACACAACCAGUGCAGCUCAGCGAGUUGACAGCAGUGAACUCUGUAGUGUUUACAGUCCAGGCCACAGAUGCUGAUGGAGACACACUCACAUACAUCAUUGAAGAAUCAUCAGUAGCCUGAUGCCAGAUAUUUUCGAGUGGACUUGCCCAACAGCGGCAAAGUGAUUCUCAACAAGUCACUGGACUAUGAGAUCAAAACGCAGCUCCGACUCACUCUUUAUGCU
ensembl:processed_transcript